rnacentral:pre_miRNA from 1 species
AGUGAAAUAGUUGGAUCAUAUGGUUAAGUAUAUUUUGACUUUUUAAAGAAUUGUCAAAAUGUUUUCUGAAGUGGUUGUGCCAUUUUACAUUUCCAUCAGCAAU